CCAGGAGCCAUCUGGGUUUGGGCAAUUCAGAAGGCCACCAGAGUCUCGCUGCAGCCUGCGGUGAUGCCAUCUCCUCCAGCGCAGACCAUUUUCUCAGUUGCCAGGACAUUCCACCAGUCGGGCUGCGAGCAGACAUCAUGGCCGACUACAGGCAGGAAAGCCUGCUGAAGAAUAUCAGCUGCAGGACCGUUGGCUGUCUCAGAUAAUGGAUAUGUUUGUGACAAUAUUUUCACUUUAAUCUUCUCCUUACCAACUGCGUGACUUCUGAAAGCACCAGAUUUUAUUCAUAGUGCGCGGCAGUCAGGAUCCACUGUUCAGAGAUCACAGUACCUCCCCACAGGAAUGUUGCCACUCACCGUCAAUCUUGCAAUGCAAAGAAACCUGAAACAAGUAAGGAAGUUUCAUGGUUUGGUUGGUGUUACUUUAAAUUUUAAAAAGAAAUAUUAAUGAUGUA